rnacentral:rRNA from 1 species
CGACUGGUAAUCUGUGUCAGCAGCCGCGGUAAAAAACCAGCUCUUCAAAAGUGGUCGGGGAAUAAAUUUAUUUGGGCAUUAAAAGUNUCCGUAGCCGGUUUAGUAAGUUCCUGGUAAAAUCGGGGUAGCUUAACUAUCUAUAUGCUAGGGAAUACUACUAUACUAGAGGGCGGGAGAGGUCUGAGGUACUGCAGGGGUAGGGGUGAAAUCUUAUAAUCCUUGUUGGACCACCAGUGGCGAAGGCGUCAGACUGGAACGCGCCUGACGGUGAGGGACGAAAGCCAGGGGAGCGAACCGGAUUAGAUACCCGGGUAGUCCUGGCCGUAAACGAUGCAUACUAGGUGAUGGCACGGCCAUGAGCCGUGUCAGUGCCGUAGGGAAACCGUUAAGUGUGCCGCCUGGGAAGUACGGUCGCAAGGCUAAAACUUAAAGGAAUUGGCGGGGGAGCACCACAAGGGGUGAAGCCUGCGGUUCAAUUGGACUCAACGCCGGAAAACUUACCAGGGGAGACAGCAGUAUGACGGUCAGGUUGACGACCUUACCUAACGAGCUGAGAGGAGGUGCAUGGCCGUCGCCAGUUCGUGCCGUGAGGUAUCCUGUUAAGUCAGGCAACGAACGAGAUCCGCACCUUUAUUUGCCACCAAGAAGUCACGACUUCGUUGGGAACACUAAAGGGACCGCCGUCGAUAAGACGGAGGAAGGAGCGGGCAAAGGCAGGUCAGUAUGCCCCGAAACCCCUGGGCUACACGCGGGCUGCAAUGGUAUGAACAAUGGGCUGUGACUCCGAAAGGAGAAACCAAUCCCGAAAUCAUAUCUCAGUGGGGAUUGUCGGCUGUAACCCGCUGACAUGAACGUGGAAUCCCUAGUAAUCGUGUGUCAUCAUCGCACGGUGAAUACGUCUCUGCUCC